CCUUUACAACGAAGGCACACAGACUGUAGCUCAAGAACAUUAAAGUAGCUUAAACAGCAGAAAUCUGAUCCAGAGUAAAAAAUAAAGAAGGGACUAGAAAGUGUAAAAGGGUUCACUUUGUUUAAGCCAGGGGUGUCAAGCUAAUUCACUUUGGGUCACAUCAAGAUCUAGAAUGCGUUUAAAGGGCCGAUUGUGGCAGAAUGUUUUGAUUGACAAAUUAUGGCUGUAAAAAUACCAUUUAGCUUCUCUAUUAGGAGUUUUAAGUAUUGUAACUUACCGUCUCAUUUUAAGACCAUAACUGACAAAAUAUUCAUUUCAAGGCUAAAGACUUUACUAAAGAUCAAUCAAAAUUGCACUCAAUUGUUUUUAUUCAGUAGUUCUAAAAACAUUGUUUUAUUUACUGUUAACUUUUCAUUUUAAUCAAAUGUUAAAUGUCCUUCUGAUGAGUGUUGCGAAUUAUCUAUGGCUACAAAUACUGACGCAGGCAUUAUGUUGUCUUGUAUUUGUCCCCAUCAAAUAAAGUAAAACAAAACUACACAUUAACAAACUAUUAAAGUAUGAAGCUAUCUCUGCGUUUGAAAUUAAAUAAACAUAUUCUGACCUUAAUCUAAUUUGGCAAAUUACAGAUGAAACUGCUGUAAUUUGAUUGAUAAAAUAAUAUUUAAGCACACAAAUUAUAUUUAAGGUUCUAUUUCUAGAUAAAAUCUUCUGGUGGGCUGGAUUUGGCCUGCAGGUCUGGAGUUUGAGACAUGCUUUUAAAGAAAAAUACAGGGUGGGCCAUAAGUUUCCAUACAUAGGAGAAUGUCAAAUGUAUAUUUCUUUUAUAUUUCAGAUACCCAAGAAGAUGAGUUUGACAAAAGAGCAAAGUAUUGAAAUUUUACUAAUGGCUGGAUCGGGAAGCAGUCGCAUAGUUGCACAAAACUUUAACAGAAAACAUGGAACGAGCAUCACACACACUACACUGUGGCAAAACUUAUUUGCACGUUUCAGAAAACUGGAAAUGUUGCAGAUCAACCGCAAAAUGGUCAAAGACGUGCAGCGAUUACACAGAGUCCCACAAAAAUAAAAACGGUUGUCCAACAUGUUUAUUUUUUCUAUGUAUGGAAACGUAUGUCCCACUCUGUAAAUAAAUAGCGCACAAUGAGUGGAAAGUUUAACUAUACCUCCUGGGUUCUUGGACAUUUGUUAUGUUUUUGAAUCCUUCUAGUUUUACACAACUUUGAAUGUGUUGAUAAAAAUGGGAUAAAAGUUAUCAGGCUGGGGAGUUUCUAGUGAAAUCUUUAUCUUAUGAUUUACAUCCCUUUUUUGUGACACUGAUAUCCAUUCAAAAUGCAUUUUGUGGCUCCUCUACAACUGCAACUCAAUUUCAAUUCUUUUUUCAACUUACUUGAGCUGACAUUUUUUUUCUAGGUGAAAAUGCCUUUAAAGGUACUAUACAUUUACAAAUAUGCAUAUACGAAAAUGAAAAAAUAAAAUAAAAUCAAAACGUAUAUUAGGCUCAGGCAACCCAUAAAAUCCAAAUCUGAAUGCGUGUGAAAAAUGCGUAGUGGGAAACAAAAGAAAAAGAAAAACAUUUUGUGGCGUUUCUCCUGGAAAAAAAAAAGAGAAUUGUUACAAGUGGUACAUACAGGUUUAAAAUCUUUGAGCAUGUAUGUAUAUUUACAAUAUAUGGAGAGGAGCAAUGUGAAUAAUAGUAUUUACAAACAAAUUGUUGGAGAAAGUUGAAAGUCAGGUAGGCCACUAAAAUGCCUGUGUAAAAGAAGCUUCUUAAAGUGCAGUAUCCAAGCACAUUAAUGGAAAGUUUAGUAGAAGGAAAAAAUGUGUUCCAGAAAAAGGAAUCAAUUGAAGGAUUCAAUGUGUAACCAUACAUCUUGUGCUGUCAGGCACAAGAUGUAUUUCAAGAAGUUGAAGUACCUGCUUUAAUGCAUGCAUUAACCAGAUCAUGUAUAAACCAAUAAUUUUGCUUAAAUCCUUUUAAUAAAUAAAAAGCAGCUUCAUUAUGAUGUAAAAUAUCCUUUAGGGAUUCCCUCUGCUUUUGCUCUCUGCCCAUACUUACAUGUACCAUAAAAGAAGUUUUAAUAAAUGAAGAAAACCCAACUACAUAAAGAAGCCAUUUUAAGAUGGUUUAUUUUGGGGGAAAAGUUAACAAACCCAGUUGAUCCUGUGUGAAAUAUUGUGUAGAGGAACUUUAGCUCACUCUAGAAUCGCCUAGAUUACAUGCGUUAUUAAUGAGACAUUUAGUGGUAAACUUGAGCUUCACAAACUGAUGGCUGGAUAAUUUUCUGAUGGACAGCAGAAUUAAGAUUUUAUCAAUUAUGGCAUUUAAACAAAUUAGCCCCAGACCGCAGCAGUACUACCGCUAUGGUCUGACUCGUCGUAUCUUUUUCUGAAGUGCUGUGCUCCAACAGGACACACAUUCCAAAUACUUACCAAAUACUUGUCUCUACAGUCCAUAAAAUGUGUCCCCAAAUGUUUUGAGUAUGAAGGUUUUUAGGAAAAUGG